rnacentral:lncRNA from 1 species
GACAACUGAGUCACGUAAGGGAGACUGGCACAGUGGAUGCCCACGCAUGGGGGUGGGCAUGUGCGGUGAGCGCGCGUGCUCAGGGUCCUCCUGGGGCUGCAUGGAGGCCUCGCUUCCUGAAGGCGGCGCUGUGGAUCCAGUCCCACGGACGCGGAGGGCCAGGCCGGGGACCAGGUGAGAGCCGGGCAGAGGCAGGGUGUUGGCCAAGGUCACGGCCCCAGAGACCACAAUAGCAUUGUGUCGCUGCAGCCAGGAAGAGCAGGCGACAAGGCCUGAAAGUCUACCUGAUAGUAUCGAGGCCUAAUAGAAUGGAUUUUAUGUGGUGUGGCCAUUCCAUUCAAAGCUCCUCACCUUUGAUGUUGAGAUUGAGUGUUGAUGGUAAUGGGUGUCUCCUUCCCGCAGUCCAAAGUAUACUUGGAUGCUUCUAAUAGAAAAGAUGCUCGCUAAACCUUCAACAACAUUCCCAGCCCAGGAGCCAUGCUGGGAUGGGUUGCGAAUGGCAGGCAGGGCAGAGACAGCUGUCCUUGCCAGUCCUGUAUCCAGCACACGGGUACGUAGCUUUCAUUCUACUGGGGCAUGUCCCUGGAGGAGCCCACUAGCAGCUUGUCAUAGAACCCCUACCUUCCUCG